rnacentral:lncRNA from 1 species
AUUGCAUACGUUUAGUAGGUUUUAGGAGUAGAUUCGAUCCUUCCCAUACCCUCCCACAUCACUUUUCCUCUCACAAUUUGAGUAGAGUUUUCUUAAGGAAAAACUACCAAUUUUCAUCAACUUCCCCCAUAUUUAUUGGGUUUCUUCCUUUUGCUCUCUUUUUUCCUCUUCUCUUUCUCUCUCUAACCUUGCUUUCUCUCAACUCCAUAAUACUUUUCCCUUCUUCC